rnacentral:rRNA from 1 species
GGGUGAGUAACACGUGGGUGACCUGCCUCUAGCUCUGGGAUAAGCCUGGGAAACUGGGUCUAAUACCGGAUAUGACUCCACGGCGCAUGUUGUGGGGUGGAAAGCCUUGUGUGGCUAGAGAUGGGCCCGCGGCCUAUCAGCUUGUUGGUGGGGUGAUGGCCUACCAAGGCGACGACGGGUAGCCGGCCUGAGAGGGCGACCGGCCACACUGGGACUGAGACACGGCCCAG